AAGCUGAGUUAAAUGAAUAAAUCAAAAGUUUUCUUUUCCUAUUUUCCUUUCAGGACUUCUUUCCUAGUACUCCUACUUUUCGCACUCGGAUAUUAAACAAAUGGUUGAGGUUCGGAGUUACCUGGUUUCCGUCUCUUUAAAUAUAUGGCAAUCCGGAACCGACUGCCUCCACACGGACUGACGGUCAAUGGGUUUAUAGUUGCCCACAAUUAUCCCGGCACGCAUAGGCGGAACUUCAAAUUGGGGGAAAACCAAUCCUCCAAGGAAAAAUAGCAGACCUCCUCUCAUGCACUUCUUGAGGAGGCCCAUAUAUAUCUGGUUGUGAUUGGCGCUUUCUUAAAAUAAAACAAAAAGGUCUACUUGGACACAUUGCUACACCAGACACACAAUUAUAUUUACCUUUUUGGAUUGUACGCACACACAUGAAACACAACAAAAUAUAUUUUAAACAAAACAAUUAUAUUUAAUAAAUUAUAUUAUGUAGACUUUUAUACGAUUUUUAUUGUUUUUCUGAGACUUCGUUACAAACAGGUUAAUCCUUUUUGACUAAUCACCAUUACAAAACUACCUCAAUUAUCCCGUCGCAGCCUUUUAUAUCGCGGGUACACACGCCAAUAUUAACUUUCCCUCCUUUCAAAUUUUCCCUCAAUUUUCCAUUCUUCAUCAUUUCUUUUUGUAUGCCCCAUACGUGCCAAACUCACGGCAGCACAGGGUUGUAUCAUACUAACUUUACGACACGCACCCACAUUUCCAUUAAUUACCCAAGUUAAGCACAAAGAUGGCAACACCACUCAUAACUAAGUGGCCGGUCAUUCUUUCAUUUCCGCCUCAUUUUCUUAUUGUCAGUCGGAGGUGUCAACAUGUUCGGGGAAUUGAUUAUAUUUGUAAAAGCCCCACACGCAACAAAACUUCACAAUAUGCAAGGAAUUCGAAGCAAAUUGUGAUGUGCGUGUUUUAUUCAAUUUCUCGUUCUUCGGUUUUAUCUGUCUUUCAAGAAAUAAUAAAGGAUUUUCACUAAAAAAAAGGAAGCAUGAUUUGCCGGUGGACCAUGUGUUCCUAUAUAUGAUGCCUACAAAACAGGAAAAUUCAUUGAUUAUUUUGUUUGGUGAACAUUUGGAGGUGUCUCAGUGAAACCCCGUUGCUAUGCGUGUGUAUACCCACGCUUCCACUAUUGCCGUCGCUGUUCACUCAACAUAACGGAAAGGCGUCUUACUCAUGGUAAUGCAUUUGUUUGUAUGUGUCGUUUUUUUCGAUGAAGUCGCUGCCGCGAUCUUAAAAGUUGUUUGUGUGUACGUGUGUAUGUACACGUACACGAUUCACCCCUACACAUACUGGCUAUUGAUCUCCUUCAUUCCCAUUCAGUAAGACAGACUCGCACAUAAACAUGCAACACAUAUUCGGACUAUCAAGUUUUUUUGAGUUUUAUUAUGGAAGCUUAUAUUCUAUUUUAACUGACGUCAUGUGGCUAAGCAGGUAAACGAUGUAGCUGACAAAUAAAAGGAUUUUUCCUGUUUGAUGUUCUCUGAUACAGACACAUUUUCUCCCAUAUACCUGCUUGAUAUAAACGGAAACCAACCCCGUAGAGAUGAAUUCCGUGAAAAUCUAUCACGGUAAGGGUAUAUGGCUGAGCAUCACCCAUUCAAAUUGGAUCGUUCACACUCGUAACACAGGUAGUUCGCUGUAUCUCUAUGAAUAGUACAUAAACAUCUGUAUACUGUGGUGACGGUCCUCGUUUAUAUUGCUGCAUUUAUUACACAUCACUCACAUGCCGUGGCAGUCCAACGGAAAAUUUUGACUUCGUGUUGAAGCAGUUCAGGACUUCUUUCCUAGUACUCCUACUUUUCGCACUCGGAUAUUAAACAAAUGGUUGAGGUUCGGAGUUACCUGGUUUCCGUCUCUUUAAAUAUAUGGCAAUCCGGAACCGACUGCCUCCACACGGACUGACGGUCAAUGGGUUUAUAGUUGCCCACAAUUAUCCCGGCACGCAUAGGCGGAACUUCAAAUUGGGGGAAAACCAAUCCUCCAAGGAAAAAUAGCAGACCUCCUCUCAUGCACUUCUUGAGGAGGCCCAUAUAUAUCUGGUUGUGAUUGGCGCUUUCUUAAAAUAAAACAAAAAGGUCUACUUGGACACAUUGCUACACCAGACACACAAUUAUAUUUACCUUUUUGGAUUGUACGCACACACAUGAAACACAACAAAAUAUAUUUUAAACAAAACAAUUAUAUUUAAUAAAUUAUAUUAUGUAGACUUUUA